AGAGUUUGAUCCUGGCUCAGGACGAACGCUGGCGGCAUGCCUAACACAUGCAAGUCGAACGGAGUUAUUAUUCAGAAGUUCUUCGGAAUGGAAGGAUAAGAACUUAGUGGCGGACGGGUGAGUAACGCGUGGGUAACCUGCCCUUUUGUGGGGAACAACUUCGAGAAAUCGGAGCUAAUACCGCAUAAUAAUAGAGGAUCGCAUGAUUCUUUAAGGAAAGAUGGCCUCUGAAGAUGCUAUCGCAAAAGGAUGGACCCGCGUCUGAUUAGCUAGUUGGAAGGGUAACGGCCUACCAAGGCAACGAUCAGUAGCCGGCCUGAGAGGGUGAACGGCCACAUUGGGACUGAGACACGGCCAAACUCCUACGGGAGGCAGCAGUGGGGAAUCUUCCGCAAUGGGCGAAAGCCUGACGGAGCAAUGCCGCGUGAGUGAAGAAGGCCUUCGGGUUGUAAAACUCUGUCCUUAUCGAAGAGAGGUAGGUAUGUGAAUAAUGUACCUAUAGGACGGUAGAUAAGGAGGAAGCCCCGGCUAACUACGUGCCAGCAGCCGCGGUAAUACGUAGGGGGCGAGCGUUGUCUGGAAUCACUGGGCGUAAAGGGCGCGUAGGCGGUUUAAUAAGUCAGUGGUGAAAACUGAGGGCUCAAUCCUCAGCCUGCCACUGAUACUGUUAGACUUGAGUAUGGAAGAGGAGAAUGGAAUUCCUAGUGUAGCGGUGAAAUGCGUAGAUAUUAGGAGGAACACCAGUGGCGAAGGCGAUUCUCUGGGCCAAGACUGACGCUGAGGCGCGAAAGCGUGGGGAGCAAACAGGAUUAGAUACCCUGGUAGUCCACGCCAUAAACGAUGGAUACUAGCUGUUAGUAGUUUCGAUGCUACUAGUGCCGGAGUAAACACAAUAAGUAUCCCGCCUGGGGAGUACGGUUGCAAGACUGAAACUCAAAGGAAUUGACGGGGGCCCGCACAAGCGGUGGAGCAUGUGGUUUAAUUCGACGCAACGCGAAGAACCUUACCAAGACUUGACAUCCUCCUGACAAGAUAUGUAAUGUAUCUCUUUUCUUCGGAGACAGGAGAGACAGGUGGUGCAUGGUUGUCGUCAGCUCGUGUCGUGAGAUGUUGGGUUAAGUCCCGCAACGAGCGCAACCCUUAUUUCUAGUUGCCAGCAGUAAGAUGGGGACUCUAGAGAGACUGCCAGUGACAAACUGGAGGAAGGUGGGGAUGACGUCAAAUCAUCAUGCCCCUUAUGUCUUGGGCUACGCACGUGCUACAAUGGUCAGAACAGAGGGAAGCGAAGCCGCGAGGUGGAGCAAAUCCCUAAAAGCCAUCCCAGUUCGGAUCGCAGGCUGCAACCCGCCUGCGUGAAGUUGGAAUCGCUAGUAAUCGCGGAUCAGCAUGCCGCGGUGAAUACGUUCCCGGGCCUUGCACUCGCCGCCCGUCA
rnacentral:rRNA from 1 species